rnacentral:rRNA from 1 species
AGAGUGAACGCUGGCGGUAGGCCUAACACAUGCAAGUCGAACGGCAGCACAGUAGGAGCUUGCUCUUACGGGUGGCGAGUGGCGGACGGGUGAGGAAUACAUCGGAAUCUACCUUUUGGUGGGGGAUAACGUAGGGAAACUUACGCUAAUACCGCAUACGCCCUUCGGGGGAAAGCCGGGGACCAGCAAUGGCCUGGCGCUGAUAGAUGAGCCGAUGUCGGAUUAGCUAGUUGGUGAGGUAAUGGCUCACCAAGGCGACGAUCCGUAGCUGGUCUGAGAGGAUGAUCAGCCACACUGGAACUGAGACACGGUCCAGACUCCUACGGGAGGCAGCAGUGGGGAAUAUUGGACAA